rnacentral:rRNA from 1 species
AGGGUCCAAGCGUUAUCCGGAAUCAUUGGGUUUAAAGGGUCCGGUAGGCGGUUUUGUAAGUCAGUGGUGAAAGCCCAUCGCUCAACAGGUGGGAACGGCCAUUGAUACUGCAAGACUUGAAUUAUUGGGAAGUAACUAGAAUAUGGUAGUGUAGCGGUGAAAUGCUUAGAGAUUACAUGGAAUACCAAUGCGAAGGCAGGUUACUACCAAUAUAUUGACGCUGAUGGACGAAAGCGUGGGGA